GUGGGUGUAGGCCUGGCCAAAAGGCAGUGGGAGAAGGGAGGGAGCUGUCAAACAGAGGCAGAUGGCUCCUCCCUUCUUCCCCACUUGCUCCUCAGACACAGGGUGGUACCUAGGCAACCUUUUGAUUCUGCAAAGCCCCCCUUCCCCUCCCUCAAAGUGCAUCAUAACUCACCAUUUCCUAUUUCUGCAACUGAACCAGAAUUCACAUUCUCUCCUUCAGCUGCCCUCUUGGAGGUUUUAGGAGGAGGGCACCCCCCACCCCCUCCAUCCUUGGUGGAAGUAAUCUACUUAAAGCAAGAAAACAUCUUGGGGAUACUUGGCAUUUUACAAAGGAAACCUGUGAGCUCCAGAGAAUCUUCCAGAUUCCCCCUGUGUGUGUUUUGGCCUAGCCUCUCUUUGCUUCCCCGAACAAUUCAAAAUGAGGGAGCAACUCGGUCACCAACACCUGAUCGUUUUCUCUUGGCAGUCUCCCUUGUUGGUAUGGUGCCAGCAUUUUACUCAUCACGUUAUCACAAGCUAGAAAUCUGGCAUCAUCGUAAAAGUAUCUGGUUCUUUUCUUUCUUUCUUUUUUUUUUUUUGAUUAAUGCCUUUUUUCAAAAUACGUUUCCACAAUCUUCCCUAGAGUUGGAAAUAAUCAAGUGUAGUCAAGGGUAACAAAUAAAAAGAUUUAUAAAAAAAAAAAUAAAAAAAAAACCCACAAAAAAAACAAAAACACCAUCCAGCAUCAGUAGCUCCCACUUUGGUAGUAAGCAUGAAGGGUGGGUUAAUGUUUUUUUUAACUAUAUGAAAUUGGAGAUAUAUAUAUGUGUGUGUGUGUGUGUGUGUGUGUGUAUAGAAAAGUGAGUAGGAAGCUACUAUGAUAGAGACUUUAAGUAAAGAGAAUGUCAUUGCGCAAUGAAAAAGUCUCUUCUUCGGUAAGUACUAGUAAGAGGUUUGACUUACUUGCAGGAUUGCAGAAGUUCUUCAUGGAACAUUUGGUCAUGGCUAUGAAGAGGUGGAUGCAGAAAGAAGAGAGCAGACACUAGGAAUAGGAAGAGACAUGGAGAAGUGAGGAUAAGGAGAAAGAAAAACCAAGCAGAACGUCUUUGCUCAAUGGUCCUUACAAAAAAACGUAUUUUAAAAGAAUCUGAGUAAGCAAGUGCUGUAAUUCUUUUGUGACUAUGAGUGUAACGGAUACCACUAGAAAUCAAUUUAUGCUGUCAACGCAUUCGAAUAUCCUUCCACUGUGAGCCUGUCCAAAGCCUCCUGCAAUUUAUGACACAUCACAUUACAAAACUGUUGUGUUUGUUUUGUUUUUGCUUGUACCCUUUUCUGGUUCCUGGUUGUUCACAUUCUGAGAGAGGACAAAGGCCCUUAGAAAUCCAUCAAUUCAACCCUUUCAUCUCACAGAUAAAGGAGGGGAAGAUCACACUCAGCCUUGGUGGCAGAGAUGGGACUGGAACCGGGUCUCCCGAUCCCGCAGUGGGUGCUUUCCUCACUACAACAUGACGUGAUUCACACUCCAUCCAUCCCCAGUCUGUACCCCAUGGGCUCUCCUUCAACCUCAGCCAGGGCAGGAGAGCAUGAGGGAAAGCAAUGGGGCUUUGUGGGCCUCUCUGGUGUGCUGUGAGUGUGGGACCCAGAAGAGGAGGUGACAAAAUGCAUCUUCCACUUCCAUCCUAAGUCUACAAAUAAUCUAACCCCCCCGCCACACACACACACACACAUACACACACACACACACACACACACACAGCCAAGCUACUCCUAUCACCAGCUGAGAAAUACCUCCGGGGUAGAGCACUGUGAGUGAGAGGAAUUUUUAAAGGCUGCCAUAAGAGGGAUGGAGAACAUGUGGCCAGGGACACAUACACCUUUCAGAAGCCCUGCACACAGAGCCCUGGUUACAGAUGACCUAACAAGAGCUUCAGGCUCCAGGGGACCUCACGACAUGGCUCCCCGGAGUCCCUAACCACAAUGCCAUUGAACAGGUGGCUCAUCAGUGGUAGGCACUGUCCCCAAAUACUCAAAUUCCAGCAUAAAGCCACACAACAGUUGAUUGGAUUCCCCCCCACCCCGCCCCCCGCCGCCCAUUCUCACAUCUGCUCAUAAUUUCACAGUUAUCAUUGCUCAGCAUUCUAAAUGUUCCCAGCUGGCCCUCUGUGCUUCUGGGGGGACAAUGCCAGUCGUGCUCUACUGUGACAUUUCUGAGAGGCGCCUCCAGAGGAAGGGAGGUCAGAUCCUCCAGAGACAUUUCCUCCUGCGUGUCCUCUGAGAACCCAAUGAAAGUGUCGUAUUUUUAAAACGUCUCUCAGAAGUCUGUGUUCAAGGACUGGCGCAGGGAAUGUGAACUACAGAUACGCUGCCUAAAAUUCACGGGCCAGGCAAACUGGGAGAGGAACGUUCUUGAAAGCCAGACAAUCUCAAGUUUAACACGACAUCAAAAAGUCUCAGUCUAUGCAGUGUGCUGCAGAAUCAAUCAAAUCUUUGUCAUGCUCCCAGGCUUCUGUCAAAUCCUUGCCAGAAAUGUGCUGCCUCACGGAGGGCGAGGCAGC
rnacentral:lncRNA from 1 species